UACAGGGGGUGCAAACGUUGCUCGGAAUCAUUGGGCGUAAAGCGCACGUAGGCGGUUCGUUAUGUCGGAUGUGAAAGCCCUUGGCUUAACCGAGGAAGUGCAUCCGAAACUGGCGAGCUAGAGUACUAAAGAGGAUCGCGGAAUUCCCGGUGUAGAGGUGAAAUUCGUAGAUAUCGGGAGGAACACCGAUGGCGAAGGCAGCCCCCUGGGCUGACACUGACGCUCAGGCACGAAAGCGUGGGAGCAAACAGG
rnacentral:rRNA from 1 species